CCAAAAUGAUGUAAAAAAUUAACCCUGAAUUACCAUGUGGGUUCAAAAUAUCGAGCUUUUUAACACUGAUUGGU